rnacentral:rRNA from 1 species
GACGAACGCUGGCGGCGUGCCUAAUACAUGCAAGUUGAGCGAUGAAGCUUGGUGCUUGCACCAAUUUGAAGAGCAGCGAACGGGUGAGUAACGCGUGGGGAAUCUGCCUUUGAGCGGGGGACAACAUUUGGAAACGAAUGCUAAUACCGCAUAACAACUUUAAACAUAAGUUUUAAGUUUGAAAGAUGCAAUUGCAUCACUCAAAGAUGAUCCCGCGUUGUAUUAGCUAGUUGGUGAGGUAAAGGCUCACCAAGGCGAAGAUACAUAGCCGACCUGAGAGGGUGGACGGCCACAUUGGGACUGAGACACGGCCCAAACCUCUACGGGAGGGAGCAGGAGGGAAACUUCGGAAAAGGACGAAAGGCUGAACGAGCAACGCCGCGGGAGGAAAGAAGGGUGUCGGAUCGUAAAACUCUGUUGGUAGAGAAGAACGUGGGUGAGAGUGGAAAGCUCAUCAAGUGACGGUAACUACCCAGAAAGGGACGGCUAACUACGUG